rnacentral:rRNA from 1 species
AUUGAACGCUAGCGGGAUGCCUUACACAUGCAAGUCGAACGGAGUGGCGAACGGGUGAGUAAUGUAUCGGAACGUGCCCAGUCGCGGGGGAUAACUACGCGAAAGCGUAGCUAAUACCGCAUACUAUUGGAGCGGCCGAUAUCGGGAUAGCUAGUGGGGGGGGUAACGGCUCACCAAGGCGACGAACCGUAGCUGGUUUGAGAGGACGACCAGCCACACUAGGAGUGAGACACGGCCAAGAAGCCUACGGGAGGCAGCAGUGGGGAAUUUGGGACAAUGGGGGAAACCCGGAUCCAGCCAUCCCGCGUGUGCGAUGAAGGCCUGCGGGUUGUAAAGCACUUUUGGCAGGAAAGCGGUACCUGCAGAAUAAGCACCGGCUAACUACGUGCCAGCCGCCGCGGUAAUUC